rnacentral:lncRNA from 1 species
GCACUUUUACUCUCAAAUCUCUAACAAUUAACGAAUCUCGUCGAUUCGCAGUCAAUGGAUGGUGAUGAUCAGCCGUGUCCGUUACCGUCAACGUCACCGUCGCUCCACCUACGACCGCCGUCCUCCUCUGUACUUCUCAAAGACAUCUCAAAUUUCAAAACCCCGAAGCGCCCCUCACAGCCUCCAAAUUUCCAAUCUCCCUGUCCCCAGAAAUACUUCACAGCUUCCAAAGAUACCCCUAAAAACUUGUCCUCCCUUUAUCGCCGCGGUCUGUCCUCGGCCCGGUCAAAGUCAACAUUUGUGGAAAUCUGUGGGUCGAGUUUGGGAUUCUGCUGUACGGCCAAGGCGGAUGUACGGUACAGCAGGGCUCUCUCUGAAUAUAACCCAGCUGCUGAAGAUCGAGUUUGGAGGUUGAUCUGGACUUGGAAAGGCCCUCAGAGCGUGCGAGUUUUCUUGUGGCAGGCUUUUCACGCCGGUUUGAAGACUAAGGCUGAGCUGGCUAGACGGCAUUUACCCAUCUCGACUUGUUGUGACCGUUGUGUGGCUGUGUGUGAAGAUGAUAUUCAUGCCCUACGUGAUUGUUCUUUGGUUAAGCAGUUUUGGAUCAACAUCAUCACUAUAAGUAAACGACAAGGUUUUUUUAAUUCUCGGCUUAAUGGUUGGUUGCGCUCGAAUUUAGUUGAUGACAGUAUGGUGGGGGAUGUUUCAAGCUGGGCUGUUUUCUUUGGUGUUGCUUUAUGGAGGAUUUGGUUUUGUAGAAAUCAGUUUCUCUUUAACCAAAAGAUGAUGGACCCUGCGGCUUUGUUGGUAGAUGUCCAUACAAGAGCUGAGAAGACGCAUAAGCUUUAUAAUAGCCCGUUGGUCACAAGGAAUAUUUGGGCUAACAAGUGGAUUUCUUGGCAUCCUCCUGAGUGGCCAUGGUGUACUUUGAAUACGGAUAGUGCCCAUAAGUUUGAUGGGAUUUUUAUUACAGGUGGUCUGAUUCAGGAUCAUUUUGGUCAUUGGCUAAGUGGCUUUGGGAUGAUGAUUGGCUCUUGCUCUAUUACGUUUGCCGAACUUUGGGGUUUGUAUCAAGGGCUUCAGCUUGCUUGGAACUCUGGCAUCCGUAGAUUGAAAGUUGAAAUGAAUAGCCUGUGCGUUACACAAUUGGUGGCUAGACCAUCGGUGAUGACUAAUGACUAUGCUCCCUUGAUUUAAGCUAUUAAGGAUUAUCUCAAAUUGGAUUGGCAUGUUUUUAUCUUUCAUAUCUACAAAAAAGUCAAUUUCGCUGCAGAUUAUAUGACGAACCUCGCUUUUUCUCUUUCUCUUGGUCUUCUUGUGUACCUUACCCCUCCUGUGGGUGUUAGGUCUCUUUUGCUUCAUGACCUUUAUGAAGUUUUUUACUCUUGUUCUGUUCUUCUUUAGCUCUUUUUAGAGCCCUAGUUAAAUAAAAAAAAAAAAACACAUUCUUUUCGGACGAUAAGUCGUCUCAUGUCGAGAUUAUCGGACGACGUGGCAUUUUUUCUUGAAUCUGGUCUAUUAAAUAAACUAUUAUGACUAAUGAAAUUGCUACAUUUCGGGAAUUUUCCCGUUAUUGAUUGCACACGUGUAAAGUCUCACGAAGGCGCCGGCACGUGCCCCACUGCCAGCAAUUCAAAUUCAAAAAACACUAGUCUCCCUCUAAUUUCGACUCCUCGAACAAUUUUGAAAGAAGGCAAGGCAACGGCACUUUUACUCUCAAAUCUCUAACAAUUAACGAAUCUCGUCGAUUCGCAGUCAAUGGAUGGUGAUGAUCAGCCGUGUCCGUUACCGUCAACGUCACCGUCGCUCCACCUACGACCGCCGUCCUCCUCUGUACUUCUCAAAGACAUCUCAAAUUUCAAAACCCCGAAGCGCCCCUCACAGCCUCCAAAUUUCCAAUCUCCCUGUCCCCAGAAAUACUUCAC